rnacentral:rRNA from 1 species
CAAUAGCGUAUAUUAAAGUUGUUGCAGUUAAAAAGCUCGUAGUUGGAUUUCUGGUGGGAGCGUUCGGUCUGGCGCUUAGCGCGAGUACUUGCAUCGUCUCCGGCCAUCCUUGGGGAGAGUCUGUCUGGCAUUAAGUUGUCGGGCAGAGGAUCCUCAUCGUUUACUGUGAAAAAAUUAGAGUGUUCAAAGCAGGCUUAUGCCGUUGAAUAUAUUAGCAUGGAAUAAUAAGAUAGGACUUUGGUACUAUUUUGUUGGUUUGCGCACCAAAGUAAUGAUUAAUAGGGACAGUUGGGGGUAUUCGUAUUCCGUUGUCAGAGGUGAAAUUCUUGGAUUUACGGAAGACGAACUACUGCGAAAGCAUUUACCAAGGAUGUUUUCAUUAA